rnacentral:rRNA from 1 species
UACGAAGGGGGCUAGCGUUGCUCGGAAUCACUGGGCGUAAAGCGCACGUAGGCGGAUUGCUAAGUCAGGGGUGAAAUCCUGGAGCUCAACUCCAGAACUGCCUUUGAUACUGGCGACCUUGAGUCCGGGAGAGGUGAGUGGAACUGCGAGUGUAGAGGUGAAAUUCGUAGAUAUUCGGAGGAACACCAGUGGCGAAGGCGGCUCACUGGUCCGGUACUGACGCUGAGGUGCGAAAGCGUGGGGAGCAAACAGG